AACGUCCACCAGGAUCUGACAUUACCUCUAAAGAAACAACGGUCGCUGGCGAAGAAGUUGUCGGAUAAAGAAAGGGACAAAACUCGGAUUAACAUUGGCCUUGCAUUUCCAAGGUGGAGAGCACUGCGAGAGCUAAAGGGGCUACAAUCUGACUCGGAGCUAGCUCUUCUUCUCCUGGACAGGUCACGUGGAUCGUGCCAGGAUACACUGAUGUUUACUGUGAUGAUUUUCACCACACUGCAACGUGUUAUCUUCACAAAUAUGUGUAUACACCGACCAGCCACAACAUUCAAACCACUGACAGCUGAAGUGAAUAACUUGUUCCAAUGCAUUGUUCUGCUGGGAAACCUUUGGUUCUGGCAUUCAUAUGGAUACCACCUGACAUG